ACAACCGUAGCUCAGCUCGUAGAGCAUCAAAUUACUUAACCAAUCCAUUUGAGAUGCCUGUUCAAGUCAGGCCGGUUGUA